GAUCAAGGGAAGUAAUAGUGCCACUGUAUUCUGCUCUGGUCAGACCUCACCUGGAGUACUGUGUCCAGUUCUGGGCACCACAGUUCAAGAAGGACACUGACAAACUGGAACGUGUCCAGAGGAGGGCAACCAAAAUGGUCAAAGGCCUGGAAACGAUGCCUUAUGAGGAACGGCUAAGGGAGCUGGGCAUGUUUAGCCUGGAGAAGAGGAGGUUAAGGGGUGAUAUGAUAGCCAUGUUCAAAUAUAUAACAGGAUGUCACAUAGAGGAGGGAGAAAGGUUGUUUUCUGCUGCUCCAGAGAAGUGGACACGGAGCAAUGGAUCCAAACUACAAGAAAGAAGAUUCCACCUCAACAUUAGGAAGAACUUCCUGACAGUAAGAGCUGUUCGACCGUAGAAUUUGCUGCCAAGGAGUGUGGUGGAGUCUCCUUCUUUGGAGGUCUUUAAGCAGAGGCUUGACAACCAUAUGUCAGGAGUGCUCUGAUGGUGUUUCCUGCUUGGCAGGGGGUUGGACUCGAUGGCCCUUGUGGUCUCUUCCAACUCUAUGAUUCUAUGAUACUCUUUUCUGUGUUCCUUUGGGCCUUGCAAACUGCCUGGACACAUAAUUGCUCUCUUUGCUUCUAACAUUUCUUUCUGGAGACUCAGUUCUGCCUCUGCAUUCCUGCCUCAAAUGUGGUCAGGUUUCUCAUAGUUAGACCUUCUUUAUGAUCCAUUAAUGAAACAAAAGCAUAAAAUUUUGGUCCUAAAGAUGAUAGCAGAAAAGAAUUCAUUUCCUCAUCAAAAGGCCUAGAAGUCAAUUCAAUUUUCUGAAUAAUUGCUGUAAAUUGGUUCAUAUGCUUUGUGAAUUCAUCUUUAGAAUUCAUCCUGAGUCUGGUUAACUCACGUAUUAACAUUCUGUAGGAGCUCUUCAUGGUGUCUCCAAACACGCUCUAUAUCACUUAAAAUUUGAGAUGCACUAUCCUCGGAAUCUAUCAUUGAGAGGAGUUCAUUGCGAAGCCCAUUCAAAAUGAUGAAUCUGGCUUUACUGUUCUUUUCAUCCCAAGCUGUUAUCUUGGCUAAAUCACCCUCACUUGUGCCUGUAGGUUGAGGGCUUGUUACAGCAUCCAGGACUCCUUUUGCACCUAGAACGCUAUUAAGUGUUGCUUCCAGUGUACAAAAUUGUUCAUUUAAGCCCAGUCAUGCCUUGGCCUAGGUCACUAUCAAAAGCUACACUAGCCAUCUCCAAAAUCCAGAAAUUCGAAAAAUAUUCAAAAAUCACUGUCUUAGGUAAUUGUGAACUCUGAGGGAAGGGAGGGGGUUGCUUAAUCUCCACUGCACAAUGGAACAAAGGACCAUGUGCUUACCAGGAAAUAUGCUCAGGAAAAUUCUUUUCGGCCUAGGAUUACAAUCCUUUGCAAUCCUUCAAAAUUACACAAAAAUACACAAUGCUGGGCCCAUAACCCUUUGUGAAGAUGUUUAGGGAGGCAGGAUAUAUUAUUUUAUGAUAUCCUUCCUAACUUGCGUCAACAAGUUCUAUAAUUUAGCAGUGUUGUUAAACAAUGCCCCUUUAAAAUUACACAGCGGUUAGCUAGUUGCAGGCUCGUCCCUUUUUAUAUCCCUCUUAAAAGAAUAGACACGAUCAUCUGAUUAAAGUUAACAUAAAGCUAGUUUACUUAUAAAGCUACUUUACUUACUCAUGCAGUUCACAAUAAGAUCUCUGAAAGUGUUACAAAACAACCUAUAACAAUGUGAACUAUCCCAUAAGGGAAAUAGUCUCAAGUGGCUGCGAUUCAGCAGUCACUUCUCCUAACUCUUAGGAACACAAAAAAUGGAAAACAAAAAAGGCGGAACAUGGAGGCCAUGUGCUCAUCUGUCCAAGAACAGACCACACCCACACUAAGUCACAUGCAAAGGAAGUCUGUCCCAGCUCAGGAGGAACUAGCAAGUUUUCUCCUGAGUGAUACAUUGCAUGUGCAUUGUGGGAAUGUUGUAUUUGACUGCAAUACAUUUUUAUACCCCACACGUUUAGGGUUCUCUCUCUCUCUUGCAAACUUAAAUUCAGUUCUCCACAUUCCAACAGCAAUUUGCUUUUUUAAAAAAGAGGAAACCUUGUGAAAAUUCAUCCACAUUUUAGUGCAUGUUUCUCCUAAUAAACACACUUUUUAAUUCAAUUUUGAUAUACACAGUUUUGCAAGCAAUGUCCCUUGCAUGUUAUUUUCACUAAUACAGUGCUACCUUGGUUCUUGAACUUAAUCUGUUCCGGGAGUCCGUUUGACUCCCGAAACCAUUCAAAAACCAAGGCGCAGCUUCUGACUGGCUGCAGGAGCUUCUUGCACUCAAUUGGAAGCCUGCGCUCAAUCAGAUGUUUGGCUUCUGAAAAACAUUUGCAAGCCAGAACACUUCUGGGUUUGCGGUGUUCCGGAGCCAAUUUGUUCAGGAGCAAAGCUGUUUGAGUACCAUGGUACCACUGUAUUUGCAUUUAUGUGCAUGAUUUAUCCAAAUAUGUGCAUUUCUAUACACAUUGUUUGGAUGGAGAAUUGUGUUGCAACAUUCAGAACAUGGUGAAUUUUGCAGAAUGGCUGUUUCACAUAUUGCUUCAGGUUGUGUGAAUUUAGUAAGUUUAAAUGGAAACUGGAUCAAAUUUCUCCCUCUUCCCUAACAUUGAGUUACAGGGCAUAUUGACACAGGGUGGCAUUUUGCUAACAAGCUCUGCUAGCGCAACAGGACUUCUCCCUUGCCCUCCACCCCAAAUUGAGUCUGGGAGUGUUGGGAGAACCCCUGAAACUGGGGAGGUGCAGAUCAUUCCAACAGGAAUGCACAGGCUGAUGGCAUGAUCUGCUUAGUGCAAAGAAUUCUGCCUAUACUUGCUGUGAGCGGCUGGCAGUAUUAUAAACAGGGAGGCCAGAAGAAAAAGUGGAAAAGAACAGAUAUGAUAGUUGCAUUAUGAAUAGGAGUCAAUUCAUUUUUUUAAAAGCCUAUAUGAUGAACAUUGACAUUUUGUGUAUGCAUGUGUGUGAAUGUGGAUGUAUGGAUAUAAUAUAAUGUGUAACUCUGGUGAUGACAACUGUAGUCCAUGAAGGCUUAUACCAUAAUAAAGUUUUUAGGCUUUAAGGUGUCACCAGAAUAUUGCUUUUACUACAAGUAGACUAGAACAAGGGCUCAGCCUCUACAUUUAAGGGAAGGAAUCAGAAAAUCUGUGUCUGUGAGGGAGGUCAUUCAGAAAGUUUGUAUUUGUUUUGUUCAGUGCCUUUGCAUUGAAUUGCAGCUGUUGUCAAUGCAAAUUGUCCAAUCUAUCAAACAUUUAGCCUAUUCAUAGGGAUCAGAAAUAUGUUCCAUUCAUAUGAAGGAAGUUCUGGCAGCGAGUCUGAAGGGGAGAAUAUAUCAUGUCUUCAAGCAGAGAAGGUCCUGGAGUGGGGGGUGGCCAUUGCUACUCCUUGCCCUCCCCAUUACCGGCUCGUUUCCAGAUCAACAGGAACUGGCAAAUGCUUGGGAUUCCAGGACCCUUUUCUUGCUCCCAAGGUGACAGUUUGACCUCUUGGGUUGCUCUCCAUGAAUAAUAGGAUUUGCUCUUUAAAACAGUUCCGAUUUUGUAUGCAUGGGAACAAAAAAAAGAUAAAAAUAAAUGAAGUGAGUAAUUUGCGUGUUCAAAUCUGUGUAGCCUGGCAUCCCCCUUUGAUGUGUCAGGCUGCAAUUGUACAUUACCGUGGCAAAGAGAGGGUUAAGAGGGCUUCUUGGUUUCCUCUGAAAGGCGAGCUGUUCUGCUCUAUUUAAUGAAUGGCCUCUGCUGCUUCAAAUGUCAAUGGCUCCUUCUUUAAUGGAUGCAUCACCCAUUCAUUGAAAGUUCACGUCUGUGGCACUGACUGAGUGCUUGGGUGAUGAUGCCCGAGGAAGUGCGCAUUUGGAAAGCUCUAUGUUGAGACUGAUCGCCCAUGUGGAUAUUCUCCCCACCCCCCUAAGCCUCUGUGAUCGAGAUGCUGCAACUCCUACCUUGCUUCCUAUUUGUGGUUCUUUUCUGCAAAAGUCACUUGGAUUUCCCAGUUCUAGCCCACAAUCCUGGCAAGGUCUUUAUUCAGAACAGUGCCUGUGGUGGAAUUCCUGCACCUGGGGUUCCUCCAGGGCUUUUGAGAAAGGGCCUUCCUUGGCGCUCCUGGGAAGGCAGGGGCUGCACUGGAAAAACACUUUUAAAGGAAAGUUGCUGAAGCCUGUUGAACAUCAGUGCAUCAGGCUGUUGAAUUUCCUUCUAUAACACUUUGGUUUAAAUCAGGCUGCAGUAGUAGGACUGCAAUAGGACUGUAUGGGCCAGAUUUAGGUUUGAUGAGGCCCUAAGCUACUGAAGGCCCUUUAUAUAUCCAGCUGUCAACAACAAAUUGUCGCUUUUGUGUGUGUGUUUAAUAUAUGCUAUAUGAUAUGGUAAUUGGUAAUAGGUAUCUAAAGCCAUUUGCGCAUAACAAAAUAUGUAUUUUAUCAAAGUAAUUGUAUUUUAGAAAUGUACAUCUAGUUUUUUUUCCUUUGAUUUUUUUUUGGGGGGGGCAAGAGAGUGGGGCCCUAAGCUACAGCUUGUUUAGUUUAUAUGUAAAUCCGGCACAGGCCUCUGCCUCCGCAGUUGGUGCAUGUGCUUCUGAAUACCUGGAGAGGAGAGUGCCACUCAUGCGCUCAGGCCCUGCUUAUGGGCUUCCUAUUGAGGCAUCUGGUUGGCCACUGUGAGAGCAGGACGCUGGACUAGAUGUCCCCUCUUCGUCCUGAUGCAGAAGGUUCUUCUGAAUGUUCUUCAGUAGAUUGUUCCCAGGUGACUGGUUUACUGAGCAUUGCACAACAAUUAGACAACGAUGGCUAUUUCUUUGUGGGGAGGUUAUACAAUGUUUCAUCCACCAUCAAGUUCUCCCACACCUUCCAGUGCAGUUCCCCAGCCACUUCGACAGAGCUUGGUUUUGCAGGGAAGCAAGUUUGUUGUGCAUGAACUCCAGUUGCAUUGCCUGAAUUUGCUGGUACAAAACCCACUUGAAAACAGCAAUGGCCCAGAAGUGCCUGUGGGUAAUCCAUUUAAAAAGGUCAAUCAGUUGGCAGAUUUAAAAUUAGUUUUUAUGCAAGCUCUUAUAAAAACUGUGGGUGGGGAAUGCCGUUUUAAAAGAGGUAUUACUACUUGCAUAAGAGAAGGGCAGGAACCCAUAUAUGCAUCUUCUGUUUAUUUACUAUAUUUAUUUAAGCCUUCCCGAUGAUACUGGGGUCUUCCCAAAUAAAAUGAUAAAAUGCAAUUAAAGCAAAUUGGCUCCUUAUUCUUGGGGUAUUCUUGGGAUACUGAUAUCCACGCAGUGCCUUUCCCACCCUCAAACCUUUCUCCCACGUCCUUGUAAAUUAAGCAAUGUGUGUCCUUAUAGACAAAGACUUUGGAUUAUGGGGAGGGAAAACUGUGUGUGUGUGUGUGUGUGUGUGUGUGUGUGUGUGUGUCUGCAGCCAUGUGCCUCAGAGAACUAGGAGAAAAGAUUUUGGGACAUUUGUUUCACUUGUCUGGUUUCUGUGCCUUUGAAACCAAAGAUGUUAUGUCCACAUACGAGAGACUGUCAAGAGAAUUUGUUCACCCACACCUUCCGUAGAUGGUUGAUGACAGUGGCAAAGCAAAUUAUACUUGAUUCACCUGUCAAAUCACCCAUGGAAGAUUCACCAUGCAAGAUUGAUUCACCCAUGCAAGAGAGAGCCUCUUCGCUUUUGCAGGAAUGAAUUCCCUAACAAUAUCAGUUGUGGUGGUGAUUUUUUUUUUUUUAAAUACUUUUCCAUCUUGGAUUGCUCUUCCAUUUUGGAAGGAGUGUUUUCUAGUGGCAAAAUUUUUAAAACAGUACAGGAUGUCCAGUCCUAGGAAAUACUUUCUACGAAAGGAAAAGGGGUAAUAUUCAGCUACGUCAUACCCAGAGUAGGCCCACAGAAAUAAGUGGAUUUGCUCUGAGUAUGGCUAACAUUAGAUAUUGCACACUGGUUUUGAUGGGUCAAAGCUUUUGCAGCAAGCCUUGAUCAAUCAGUUGAUUCACUUAUUUUUUUUCUCCAAAGACCUUUUGAUCAAUUAAAAGCAUGUUCGAUUAAUCAAGUAGCUGAUUCUUUCUUAAGACGCAAAAUUUUAUUUUUUAACACAAGUACUUGGGGUAAAACUGGAGAUGAUGGGAGAAGGCGUGUCUUUGCAGCCUUAAGCUCUGCAAACAUGUUCUGAAUUGUGUGUGUGUGUGUGCGCGCGCGCGCAAGCAAGUUUAUUAGGAUUCUGUGCAUCUGCUACUGAGUUCUGUGGUUUUUCUACAGUUUUUUUUGUGUAUAGGAACCUAAGGUGAACCUGGCUGCUGGAUCAAGCGAGUGAUAUGUCUAGUCCAGUCUCCUGUCCUGUCCAGCAGCCAGCCAGAUGCCCCUGUGGGAAGUUCAAAAGCAGGACCUGAGUGCAAGAGCAAUUUGCCCUGCUUGCAAUUCCCAGCAACUGGCACCCAGAGGCAUGUUGCCUAUGCCAGGGGAGGUGGAAUGCAGCCACCGGGACCAGCAGCCACUGACAGCUGUUCUCUGUGUAUCUGGAUCCCCAGCUGGUGGCAACCACUACCUCUUGUGAGAACAAAUUCUGCAGUUUAACUAUGUGCUGAGUGGAGAUGUCCCAUCUUUGGAAUGUGUUGAAUGUAUAAGAAAGAACAGAAAACAAAUCCAGCUAACGAGAUCCGAGGUGAAAUGAUGCAAGGAGCCGUGUUGUCUUUUGUUAUGCUGUGGAACAUGGAAGCAUAGGAUGCUCCCUGAGCUUGUCCAACUCAGUACUUUCUACACUGACUGUCAGCAGCUCUCCAGGGUUGCAGUCAGAUGCCAGAAAUUGAACCCGGGACCUUCUGCAUGGAAGGCAGAUGCUCUGCAACUGAGCUAGGGCCCUUCUUGUAAAAAGCAAACAGAGGAAAAUAGAAAGCAGCAGCAGGCCAUUGGUGCAUCUAGAUCAGUGGGGUGUUGAUUUUGUUGGCUACUAUGUUAUGCCUUUUUGUAGUUUUAUAUUGUAAACUGCCCUGGGUUCCUUGGAUGAAAUUCAAUAAAUGAAACGAAACACACUUGCUGGCAGCUGCUCUCCAGGGCCUCAGGCAAGGGAUAUUCCUAGCCCUAUCUGAAGAUGGAACCUGAGACCAGCCUCCCCAUACCUGGUGCCCUCCAAGUGUUGCUGGUCCCCACUACCCAUCAGCCCCACCCAGGAUGGCUAAGGGUCAGUCAGUGGAGAUUGGAAAUUGCCCUCUGCCAGUGGCAAUAGUGCCACUGUAUUCUGCUCUGGUCAGACCUCACCUGGAGUACUGUGUCCAGUUCUGGGCACCACAGUUCAAGAAGGACACUGACAAACUGGAACGUGUCCAGAGGAGGGCAACCAAAAUGGUCAAAGGCCUGGAAACGAUGCCUUAUGAGGAAUGGCUAAGGGAGAUGGGCAUGUUUAGCCUGGAGAAGAGGAGGUUAAGGGGUGAUAGGAUAGCCAUGUUCAAAUAUAUAAAAGGAUGUCACAUAGAGGAGGGAGAAAGGUUGUUUUCUGCUGCUCCAGAGAAGCGGACACGGAGCAAUGGAUCCAAACUACAAGAAAGAAGAUUCCACCUCAACAUUAGGAAGAACUUCCUGACAGUAAGAGCUGUUCGACAGUGGAAUUUGCUGCCAAGGAGUGUGGUGGAGUCUCCUUCUUUGGAGGUCUUUAAGCAGAGGCUUGACAACCAUAUGUCAGGAGUGCUCUGAUGGUGUUUCCUGCUUGGCAGGGG
rnacentral:lncRNA from 1 species